rnacentral:rRNA from 1 species
CCUACGGGAGGCAGCAGUGGGGAAUAUUGCACAAUGGGCGGAAGCCUGAUGCAGCGACGCCGCGUGAGGGAUGAAGGCCUUCGGGUUGUAAACCUCUUUCAGCAGGGACGAAGCGUGGGUGACGGUACCUGCAGAAGAAGCACCGGCUAACUACGUGCCAGCAGCCGCGGUAAUACGUAGGGUGCGAGCGUUGUCCGGAAUUACUGGGCGUAAAGAGUUCGUAGGCGGUUUGUCGCGUCGUUUGUGAAAACCCGGGGCUCAACUUCGGGCUUGCAGGCGAUACGGGCAGACUUGAGUGUUUCAGGGGAGACUGGAAUUCCUGGUGUAGCGGUGAAAUGCGCAGAUAUCAGGAGGAACACCGGUGGCGAAGGCGGGUCUCUGGGAAACAACUGACGCUGAGGAACGAAAGCGUGGGUAGCAAACAGAAUUAGAUACCCUGGUAGUCCACGCCGUAAACGGUGGGCGCUAGGUGUGGGUUCCUUCCACGGGAUCUGUGCCGUAGCUAACGCAUUAAGCGCCCCGCCUGGGGAGUACGGCCGCAAGGCUAAAACUCAAAGGAAUUGACGG